UACGAAGGGGGCUAGCGUUGCUCGGAAUCACUGGGCGUAAAGCGCACGUAGGCGGCUUUCUAAGUCAGGGGGGAAAUCCUGGAGCUCAACUCCAGAACUGCCUUUGAUACUGGAGAGCUUGAGUCCGGGAGAGGUGAGUGGAACUCCGAGUGUAGAGGUGAAAUUCGUAGAUAUUCGGAAGAACACCAGUGGCGAAGGCGGCUCACUGGCCCGGUACUGACGCUGAUGUGCGAAAGCGUGGGGAGCAAACAGG
rnacentral:rRNA from 1 species